CAGUAGCCGCGGUAAUACGGAGGGGGCUAGCGUUGCUCGGAAUGACUGGGCGUAAAGGGCGCGUAGGCGGCGAUCAAAGUCAGGCGUGAAAUUCCUGGGCUCAACCUGGGGGCUGCGUUUGAUACUUGAUUGCUAGAGUGGGGAAGAGGGUCGUGGAAUUCCCAGUGUAGAGGUGAUAUUCGUAGAUAUUAGGAAGAACACCAGUGGCGAAGGCGGCUCACUGGCCCGGAACUGACACUGAGGCACGAAAGCGUGGGGAUCAAACAGGAUUAGAUACCCCAGUAGUCCCUGUCUCUUAUAC
rnacentral:rRNA from 1 species